rnacentral:rRNA from 1 species
CGUAGGGUGCGAGCGUUAAUCGGAAUUACUGGGCGUAAAGCGUGCGCAGGCGGUUUUGUAAGACAGGCGUGAAAUCCCCGGGCUCAACCUGGGAACUGCGCUUGUGACUGCAAGGCUAGAGUACGGCAGAGGGGGGUGGAAUUCCACGUGUAGCAGUGAAAUGCGUAGAGAUGUGGAGGAACACCAAUGGCGAAGGCAGCCCCCUGGGUCGAUACUGACGCUCAUGCACGAAAGCGUGGGUAGCAAACAGGAUUAGAUACCCUGGUAGUCCACGCCCUAAACGAUGUCAACUAGGUGUUGGGUGGGUAAAACCAUUUAGUACCGGAGCUAACGCGUGAGUUGACCGCUGGGGAGUACGGCCGCAAGGUUA